rnacentral:antisense_RNA from 1 species
CUUUUCAUUCCCGUUGUUAUGGAGGGCCACAUCUGCCAGAGCCUGGAGUCUGCGAAGGCCGGGACCCGGUUCCCCGGCCCACCGUGGGGGGGGGUGUGCAAACCCGAGAGAACUGGGUUGCAAAUUCGUGAAGAAUCAGCAUCAUGUUUGGCAGCUGAGUAUUGGAGCCAGGAGCCUGCCAUGAGGUUUUGAGAACAGAGUGCUGUUUUAGAGCUGGCAGCAGCAUCUCAGCCCAAGAGAAGGCAUGACUCCACAGUUUCUGCAACAACAGAGCCGGGGAAAGGAGGACGCAGCAAGCGCUGAAUAUUAACCAGCAAAGGUGAUCUGCCUGCCUCAGCUUCCCAAAGUGCUGGGAUUACAGGAGUGAGCCGCUGUGCCUGGCCUCCCAUUUUCUAAAAGAGUCUAAUUCCAGCCCAAAGUCCCUCCCUGCUCCGUGUGCCCAUUACCUUCAGAGAGCCCUCUUCUGGUCCUGGCUCAUGGACUGGCCUCUCCCUAAGACAUGCGACACCAAAGCCAUUUCUAUUCGCCUCGCCCUGCUGGACCUUUUCUGGAGAGAUGGGAAUUCUUGGAACAGGU